UUCUGAUUCAUUUGUUCUUCACGUAAAAUCCAUUAAUGUCCAAAAUUUUUCCGUUCCUGUAAGGCCGUUCCUUUGCAAAACCAAGCCAAUGAAUUCCCAAAAAUCAAAAAUCAAAAUCUCUAAAUCUUCACUUUGCCCCUGCGGGAUAGACUCUCAGUGAUCGUUGACUCAUUGCCGAAUGGACUUUCAGCGAUUGCUGCGAUUCACCGCCUCACGCUUGGGCCGCCUGGCUGUGCACUUGGGUUAGGUUUUAGGGUAAGUAAUUUACUAAUUAAAUUCUUAGAACAUGAAAAAUUGUACAAAAGUUUUGGGACCAUUUGCACCAAUUUUCUAUUAAGUAUUAAAAUUGGAAUAUGAAAUACUAUAAUGUAUUUAUUUUAUUAAAAUUUUUCCAUUUAAUAAUCAUCUCUGUAACCACCUUUUAAUAAUUUGAAAUGAGAGUGCAAAUUAGAACUGAAACGGGCUAUUUAUGUAAACUUUGAUUCUUCCUGUCAAAGAAAAUUAUUUUUCUUUAGUUUCUUUCUGGGCAUGGUUAACAAUCAUAAACACAUUCAAAUCCAUCUUUUCAUUCUCAGCAAUCAGAAUUUAAAUAGUUAAAUAUGAAGUUGGAAACUGGAAAGUUGAAAAUGUGGGGUAAUGCAGAGAAAGUUGCACAGAACUUGGUCUUGGUGCUUGCACAAAAGAUUCAUAUGGGGAACGAAUUAAAAUCUUUCAAUGUCUUUUCAAUUAAUUAUACUUGGUUUGUUGUAUUGUAUUUUGUUUAUGAUAAAUGUUCCGUGAAUGAUGAUAAUAAGAAUGAAGAAGGCAAAAAGCAGAAAUAAAUUAAUGGAAUUUGUUCGAGAAUGAGAUGUUGGUUUUUUGGAAUAAUUAAUUUUAGUUAUUAUGUUUCUUGUUUGUCUUUUAAUUAUGUGGAAACUGAGAAUUGAAAUUUUUUUUGUUGGCAGUUGGCACUCAUUCACUUGAUGGUAUUUUGUGGCCCAUUUUCAUAUUUUUGCUCGCAUUUGUUUAUGAUUUAUGCACAAGUGACGCAAAACGUGUGUUGUUGUGUUGCUUCAUUUCCCAUUUACGAUUUCUUCACCAUUGUCUAUAAUUCAUUUCCACUUUAUUUUUGUGUUUGUUUUUUUUUCCAUGAUUAAUUUUCGUAUAGAGAGCUUAGAGAUGUUAUUUUCCAAGUUUUUGACUCACAAUGCCAUAAUUUUUUUUUCUUUUGUAUAAUAUUCUUCGGGAUCUUUGGACUUGGGUUUAUCACUUUUGAUUUUAGCUCGCAAUUUAUUUCGAUUUAAAAGAUAUUUUGGGUUUUGAGUGUUCUUUUUUUAAAGACUUCAUUUUUUUUGUUACUUACUAUAGUUUCUGUUUUGGGCAUUUUUAUUUAUCAUUUAUUUAAUUUCUUUUCUGGAUUCAGGUAGCUUGAAUUUAUUGAAAUAGUGGUUUUUUUCUGGGUCAAUUUUUAAGUCCAACAUUGAUGACUUUGUUGUAUUUACAACAGAAAUACUAUCCUAUAGCCUUUUUGUGAGGUAACUGCUAAAUAAGUUCCAUAUUCACUACUGUUGUAGCCACUGAGACAGAAAGUAGAAUGUUACCUAUUCAUCUAAAAGUCUUAAACCACUAGAAUCUACAAAUAUUGCGAAAUGAACCCAUCAUGGACAAUUUCUUCUUCAUAUCUUCAAAUUCCUGCAAUUCAAAUCCCAAAUAAAAUCAAAUGCCAUUACACACUCAUAAAAACAUAUACGCAAGAACGUACGCGCACACAUAAACGUAAAAACAUACCUUAACUUUAGAGUCUGAAUCAAGUUCAGCCCUAGCUUCAGACCACAAAUUAAUAAAGCAGCACAACAUCUUAAAUUGAUUUACGUUGUCAUUAAGAUUGUGUUGGUUGAACUUAACUACAUUACUCAGUAAUUUUCAUUUGGAGUAAUUUUUUGCACAUCCUAAAUUUUAUCCACGUAUUAUGUGUUCUUGGAUAUGUCUUAGGUCUAAACAGGCCCUACAAGGCUCGAACCUUUGAUAAGAAGGUAAUUCCAUAGCCACAUAUUUAACAUAUGAGUUGUACUCAAACUUAGUUUUAUUUAUUUAUAAUUCUUUGCAGGAUUGUCUUUGACAUAUAUAAAAGAGAAGAAAAGUCAGUCACCAAAGAGCUGUUCAAGAAAAUUCCUCUAUUCGUUCCUAAGAUGGCAUUUCUCACACUUAUUUUUCUUAUUAUGUUUGUUCUAUGUGCUUACUCGUAUGGGCUGAACAAAUAAUUUUCAACUUUCUCAUUAGAUAAAUAGUGAUGAAUGUUGUUUUUACGUUCUUUAGUACAUAAAAUUAUUCUAAAAAAGUGCUUUGAAAAAUUUUAACAUCUUUGAGGGCUACCCAUAUUUUGUAACUGCUCUUUUCCUUUUCCGGUUCAACGAAAUUUGUCUAUUUUCAAAAGAUAUGUGUUGUGUGUGUGUGUGUGUGUAUAGCUAUAUUUUUGUUUGAGUAAGCAUAUUAGGCAAAAUAGAAAAUGAAGACGUGUUUUAAUGUUUAUUACUGCCUAUUUCUAAGUUGGUGUUUGAAUAAGAAGAUUAUAGUUUAAAUAGACAAUAACUACUUUCUUAUUAUAGAGUAGUUCAACAAAAUAUUCAAUACUAAGGUUCUUUAUUAUCAAGCAUAUGUGAUUCCUAUCAUAUACCUCUUUAUGUCUACGUUCAAAAUUUAUGUUAAAUUUAUAUAUAUAAAUUUUACGAUUAAUAAAUAAUUUUUGUAGAUGUCGUUAGAAUACAUAUUCUCCAAAUCAAUGGUUUUCUGCUACCAUUACUCAAUUUGAAAAUCAUCAAUAUCUUCAAGAUUUUGUAGAAUUUAUAGAUAGAGACGAUCAAGUUUCUUUAUUAUGCAGUCACUUUCACGGAUUUAUCUAUGGAAGUAUGUAUAAAGAACAAAAUGAAUAAUUUAGUAGCAAAUUAAUACACGAGUUCAUAAUGAGACUUAUCAAUUGAUGCAAAAAUAAUGAAGCUUGGGUACGAUUAAACGAUCAUGUGGCCCGUUUUAGCAUGCAAGAACUUUGUCUAAUCAUCGGAUUACCAUGCCAUGAAGUAACUAUUGAUCUCAAUUUCAAUAAUACUCGCCUUAGGGAUGAAUACUUCAAUGAUUCAAAAAGAAUUACUAUGAAAAGACUUUCUGAAGUAUUUCAUAUGUGUGAAGAUCAAGAAGAUAAAUUCAAGUUAGGAUUAGUUAUGUUCGUCAAAUGCGCUUUAAAGCCAAAUGGAAGACACAUCGAUUUCAGAACCCUUGAAAUGGUUGAACAACUUGAUAAAUUUCUUAUGUAUCCGUGGGGACGUAAAUCAUACUUUGUUUUAUUAAAUUCAUAGCAAGAAUCACACCUCAAAAGAAUACGAAGGAUGAAACAAAAUUACCAAACAGAUUGUAAAUAUUCGUUACAUGGUUAUCCACUUGCAUUCCAGGUAUUUUUCUUUUAUUUUUUUCAUGUUACAUAUAGUGCCUGUCUGGUAGAAAUUAUCAGUCCAGGAAAAUCGAUUUUCUGGUCAAAUCAUGUGGUCCUACAAUCUGACGGCUUCUUGCAUGGUUGUGUAAAACAUUACUAACUGGACAACUCUACCCUUCUUCAUCUCCACAAGAAUGAAUUCUCCGAUCACGUGAAGAUGGGAAAGGAUGAAAAAAUGUGUAAAUGCAUGUUGCUUGGUCUGCACAUUUGUCAGACACUUUCCAUUAAACAAUUCACCAACGGUCAUAAUUCAUAGGAAGAAUUUCAUGCAUUUCUCUAUCCUCAAUAGAAGACAAAUUUGACCAAAUACCCACUCUUGCAGCCUUUUUUCUCACGUGGACCCACCAACAACACAUUGCAAAGUUUAGAAAUAAUUAUUGCUCCAGCAUGAAACAAAUUGCUAGAGAAAU
rnacentral:lncRNA from 1 species